rnacentral:rRNA from 1 species
GUCUCAGUUCGGAUUGGAGUCUGCAACUCGACUCCAUGAAGCUGGAUUCGCUAGUAAUCGCGCAUCAGCCAUGGCGCGGUGAAUACGUUCCCGGGCCUUGUACACACCGCCCGUCAAGCCAUGGAAGCCGGGGGUGCCUGAAGUGCGUGACCGCAAGGAGCGCCCUAAGGUAAAACCGGUGACUGGGGCUAAGUCGUAACAAGGUAAC